AUGCUAUUGCCACACUGUCAAAUAAAACUUGAAUUCUUAAAACUUACUAAAUUGUUAAGUACAUACGUGAUUCUAUAUAUGAAGAGCUGGACCCUGGUGAAGUCACAACUCCUGAAGAUGCUGUGGCAAGGACUGGUGGUGGAGAUGCAGGUGAGGAGGGGGCUGGAGAGACCGCAUGGACUGGUGGUGGAGAUGCGGGGGAGGAGGGGGCUGGAGAGACCACAGGGACGGGUGGUGGAGAUGCAGGUGAGGAGGGUGCUGGAGAGACCAGAUGUACUGGUGGUGGAGAUGCAGGUGAGGAGGGUGCUGGAGAGACCACAUGGACUGGGGGUGGAGAUGCAGGUGAGGAGGCGGCUGGAGAGACGGCAUGGACUGGUGGUGGAGAUGCCGGUGAGGAGGGGGCUGGAGAGACCACAGGGACUGGUGGUGGAGAUGCCGGUGAGGAGCAGGUUGGAGGGAGUGCAGGCACUGGUGGUGGAGAUGCAGGUGUGGAGGGGGCUGGAGAGACCACAUGGACGGGUGGUGGAGAUGCGGGUGAGGAGGGGGCUGAAGAGACAACAUGGACUGGUGGUGGAGAUGCGGGGGAGGAGGGGGCUGGAGAGACCACAGGGACUGGUGGUGGAGAUGCCGGUGAGGAGCAUGGUGGAGGCAGUUCUGGCACUGGUGGUGGAGAGGCAGGUGAGGAGGGGGCUGGAGAGACCACAGGGACGGGUGGUGGAGAUGCAGGUGAGGCGGGGGAUGGAGCGACCACAUGGACUGGUGGUGGAGAUGCCGGUGAGGAGCAGGUUGGAGGGAGUUCUUGCACUGGUGGUGGAGAUGCAGGUGUGGAGGGGGCUGGAGAGACCACAUGGACUGGGGGUGGAGAUGCAGGUGAGGAGGGGGCUGAAGAGACAACAUGGACUGGUGGUGGAGAUGCAGGUGCGGAGGGGGCUGGAGAGACCACAUGGACGGGUGGUGGAGAUGCGGGUGAGGAGGGGGCUGGUGAGACCACAUGGACUGGUGGUGGAGGUGCCGGUGAGGAGCAUGUUGGAGGCAGGGCUGGCACUGGUGGUGGAGAUGCAGGUGAGGAGGGUGCUGGAGAGACCAGAUGUACUGGUGGUGGAGAUGCAGGUGAGGAGCGGGCUGGAGAGACCACAUGGACUGGGGGUGGAGAUGCAGGUGAGGAGGGUGCUGGAGAGACCACAUGGACUGGGGGUGGAGAUGCCGGUAAGGAGCAGGUUGGAGGCAGUUUUGGCACUGGUGGUGGAGAUGCUGGCGAUGGGACUGGUGGUGGAGAUGCUGGCGAUGGGACUGGUGGUGGAGAUGCUGGUGAUGUGA
ensembl:lncRNA